rnacentral:sRNA from 1 species
AUGAUGGAACGUUUAUCAAAAAACUCAAC